rnacentral:rRNA from 1 species
UACGUAGGGGGCAAGCGUUAUCCGGAUUUACUGGGUGUAAAGGGAGCAUAGACGGCAUGGCAAGCCAGAUGUGAAAUACCGGGGCUCAACCCCGGGACUGCAUUUGGAACUGUUAAGCUGGAGUGUCGGAGAGGCAGGCGGAAUUCCUAGUGUAGCGGUGAAAUGCGUAGAUAUUAGGAGGAACACCAGUGGCGAAGGCGGCCUGCUGGACGAUAACUGACGUUGAGGCUCGAAAGCGUGGGGAGCAAACAGG